CUGCUGCCUCCCGUAGGAGUCUGGGCCGUGUCUCAGUCCCAGUGUGGCUGGUCGUCCUCUCAGACCAGCUACUGAUCGUUGCUUUGGUGAGCCGUUACCUCACCAACCGGCUAAUCAGUCAUCGGCCGCUCCGCUCGCGAGAGGCCCUUGCGGUCCCCCUCUUUCUUCCGUAGAACUCAUGCGGUAUUAGCCAACCUUUCGGCUGGUUGUCCCCCACGAGCGGACACGUUCCGAUGUAUUACUCACCCGUUCGCCA
rnacentral:rRNA from 1 species